CUGCUGUCCUCCUUGAGCCUCCCGCAGGAGGGGAAGGCGGGGUGGCCCCAGGCCCCCAGGCGCACGGUCCACUUGUUCUGCUCUUGAUUCCACACUGGAGCUGCACUCCGAGGGGGAUCCCCCAGCUGAACUUCUAGACCAGCUGGAGCCUCCUGAGCCCCCUGACGAAGAACCCCAGGCUGCAGGGCCAGCUCCAGCCCACGCUCAGGUCCCACCUGCAGAGCUCGUGCCAGUUCCACCGGCCGCUUCCUCACCAGCUCGAGCCCCACAGCAAGAGCCGGAACCUGGAUCCCCUUCUCCACCAGCUGCAGACCUGCAACUCCUGGAGGCUCCACAGCAGGGCUCAGCUCUUCAGCUCUACCUGUGGGCAACUCUUGACCCACACCUGCCAUUCCCCUCUCUUGUAGAUUUGCUUUGCAUUGUAUCUCUUGCUGUCCUUAUUAACCAGAGCUAUGUCAAUGAUAGA